rnacentral:rRNA from 1 species
CCUACGGGAGGCAGCAGUGAGGAAUAUUGGUCAAUGGGCGGGAGCCUGAACCAGCCAAGUCGCGUGCAGGAUGACGGCUCUAUGAGUUGUAAACUGCUUUUGUACGAGGGUAAACCCCGAUACGUGUAUCGGGUUGAAAGUAUCGUACGAAUAAGGAUCGGCUAACUCCGUGCCAGCAGCCGCGGUAAU